GUGCUCACUUCAGCAGCAUAUACACCAACAUUAGAAAGAUACAGAGAGGAUUAGCAUAACCCCUGCACAAGGAUGAUAUGCAAAUUUGUGAGGAAUUCCAUAUUUUU
ensembl:snRNA U6 U6 spliceosomal RNA